rnacentral:rRNA from 1 species
AUGCGCCAGCUAGUCCAUGAUGUUUUCGGGAACAUAGAUAAUGGGUCUCAAGUGAAUGACUUCGAUGACCCAAACCCUCCAGAACAUGGACCAGAUCCUGAAACCCAAGCUUUUUAUGACUUGUUGAGAGAUGCAGAUGGACCUUUGUGGGACGGGUGUGAACUAUCAAAACUUUCUUUCCUUGUGCUUCUGUUCAACAUAAAAUCCACUAACAAGUGGAGUAAUAAAUCAAUAAAUGAUUUGCUAGCAGUUCUGCAGCAAGCAAUUCCAAAUGGUAAGAAUUUACCUGGAACUUUUGCCGAGGCCAAGAAGAUCAUUGGAAAGCUUGGGCUUAGUUAUGAGAGAAUUCAUGUUUGUGAAAAAGAUUGUCAACUUUUUUGGAAAGAGAAGGCUAAUGAUGACUUUUGCUCAGUAUGUGGAUCAUCAAGGUGGAAAAACAAACCUGAUAAAACCAAGCUAACUAACAAGGAAAGGAAAAAAGCAACCCCGAAGAAGGUGCUCCGGUACUUCCCUAUUAAGCCAAGGCUUAAGAGGCUUUUUAUGCACAAGGAAACUGCUAUAGCAUUAAGAUGGCAUGAUGAGCAAUGCAUAAAAGAUGGAGCAUUGCGACAUUUAGCUGAUUCAGCGGCAUGGAAGGAGAUUGACUCUAAGUAUAAGCACAUUAGAUCAGAUCCUCGUAACAUUAGAUUCAUAAUCACAGCUGAUGGAUUCAAUCCGUUUGGUAAGCUGAAUUCUAAACAUAGUUGCUGGCCUGUUGUCCUAGUACCCAAUAACCUUCCACCAUGGUUGUGCAUGAAGGCCUCUUCUCUUCUGCUCACUCUGCUUAUUCCUGGUCCAACUUACCCUGGAAAGAAUUUCCAUGUAUUCAUGCAACCAGUUUAUGAAGAACUAACUGAGUUGUUUAUGAUAGGAACCCGUACAUAUGAUGCAUCUCGAGGUGAGAUGUUUCAACUUUAUGCUGUUGUGUUGUCUACCAUGAGUGACUACCCCGGGCUAGCUCUCUUUGCAGGAUAUAGCGUAAAUGGUGAGUUUGGUUGUUUUCCAUGUCGUGAUGAAACAUGUUCUAAACGCUUGAAACAUGGGCAGAAGUAUUGUUUCAUGGGGCAUCGCCGAUUUCUGCCCCCAGAUCACAAAUUUCGCUUUGAUGCUAGAUCAUUUGAUGGGUCUGAAGAACAUAGAGCAGCACCUAGUGCUUAUGCAGAAACUAGAGUUGUAGAUCAAAUAAAAUCAAUUUCAGAUUUUCAGAAUUCCAAAACAUGGAAGUGUGUCAGUGGCCUAUUCAAUUUGCCCUAUUGGGACUUCAAUUUACUUCGUCAUAAUCUUGAUAUCAUGCAUAUUGAGAAGAACGUAUGUGAGAACAUAUAUGGAACACUUCUAGGAAUAGAAGGCAAGUCCAAGGAUAAUUUAAAGGCACGACUAGACCUACAACACAUGAACAUUAAACGAGAGCUGCAUCCACAAAAAAAACCUAAUGAUAAGUAUUAUCUGCCACCUGCUUCCUAUAACCUAUCUAAAGAAGGGAAGCAACAAUUUUGUAAAGUCCUUCAUGGUGCAAGGGGCCCGGAUGGGUUUUCAGGAAACAUCUCAAGAUGUGCAAAUGUUGUUCAAGGGAGAAUCUCAGGCCUUAAAAGUCAUGAUUGUCAUAUACUGAUGCAACACUUUCUGCCACUUGCUAUCCGAGGUCUACUCCCAGAUCAUGUCACAUCUGUGUUGUUUGACCUGUGUGGGUAUUUUAGAGAAGUGAGUGCAAAAGUCCUAUACAUAAGUGAUCUUGAGAAGUUGGAGGAGCGAAUCAUAAUGACAUUAUGUCAUAUGGAGAGAAUAUUCCCACCAGGUUUUUUCACCGUUAUGGUGCAUUUGGUUAUGCAUCUAGCAACAGAGGCAAAAAUAGGUGGUCCAGUGUGCUAUCGUUCGAUGUGGUUUGUGGAAAGGUAUAUAGGUAAGCUGAAGUCAAAUGUCCGUAACAAAGCUCAUCCCGAAGGAUCUAUCGCUGAAGCAUUUUUGGCAGAUGAGGGCAUGACAUUCUGUUCAAGAUAUAUUGUCGGUUUUGAGACCAAACAUAACUUGCCUUCGCAGAAUGAAGAUAACGAGGAGUGGGUUGGGCACCAUGAUAAUGCACAUGGAUCAAGAUUAUUUCCUCAUUCUGGCAAUCCACUUGGAAAGCCUAGGAAUUGUGUACUGAGCGGUGUGGCAAAAGUACAGGCACAUAGAUAUGUCUUGUUCAAUUGCUCUGAUGUGAAUUCAUACCUUAGAGCUCAUGCUGAUGAGAUCACUAAUGGACGCAAUUUAAACCCUGAUGUUGUCGAGAGGAUUCAAAACGAUAAGUUCCACGAAUGGUUCCAAGCUCAUAUAAAGAAAUUGGAGAAGGAAAUUGGCAUCCACAACAUUGAAAAGGAUAUUAGAUUGCUCGCCCGGGGCCCAGUUAAUGCAGCCAAAAGAUAUUGCGCUUUCAACUCCCGAGGCUACCAUUUUAGGCCUAAACGCUUGGAUAAAGAGACACAAAAUAGUGGAGUCAUGGUAACUGCAAAAACAUCUAGUUAUGAUUCAGCACGUGAUGCUAGUCCUGUUUUACGUGAUGUGACGUACUACGGGAGGGUAAUUGAUAUUGUCGAGCUAAACUACUCUGGACAGUUUUCAGUGGUGUUGUUUAAAUGUGAAUGGGUUAAUGUGUUCUCAGAAACAGGAUUGAAAAAAGACAAGUACCGUUACACAAUUGUCAACUUCUCACAUCUAAUACAAAAAGGGGAAAAGAUUGAUCAUGAGCCUUUUAUUUUCCCUAACCAGGCGAAUCAAGUGUUCUAUGUGGAAGAUGAAUUGAAUCCAGGUUAG